AGAGAGAGAGAGAGAGAGAGGACGUAUUUCAAUUAUAUCUGAUGGAUCUUUUAAUUUUAGUGAAUUAGUCCGUAAAUUACUACAUUUGUUUUUCUAUCAAUGGGUUUGGAGUGUGUUCCCAUGUUAAUCUGGCGUUAAAAUGGAAGGUAAAUGUAGAUAUAACUUGUUGACUAGAAGAAGUGGCCGUCUUUUGAGCACCAAGAACCGUCAAAUGGUGGCAUUUUGCACAAUUAUCUCUCAUGAAAUUGCUUAAAUUGCCAUAUGCAAUUCACAUUUUGCAUUUGCAAAAUGAUAUUGUUUGGUUAUCAUGAGUGGCUUUUUAUCCAAAUUAGUCACUUUUGUUUAUGUUAGAAGUCCAUUUUAGCGCCACUUCCAAAUGGCUCAUU
rnacentral:misc_RNA from 1 species